rnacentral:rRNA from 1 species
AGUGAACGCUGGCGGCGUGCCUAACACAUGCAAAUCGAGCGAGAUUAUACAGUACACCGUAUGGUCUAGCGGUAGACGGGUGAGUAACACGUGAGAAACCUUCCCUCGAAUGGGGAACACCUCCGGGAAACCGGAGUUAAUACCCCAUAAGACCACAGUCCGGCAUCGGACAGAGGUCAAAGGCGUAAGUCGUUUGAGGAUGGUCUCGCGUCCUAUCAGCUUGUUGGUGAGGUAACGGCUCACCAAGGCUAUGACGGGUAUCCGGCCUGAAAGGGCGAUCGGACACACUGGAACUGAGACACGGUCCAGACUCCUACGGGUGGCAG